ACAAUCUCAAGGUUCAAAGUUUUACCUUAGGGGGAUACGCGUAAGGACAUUCAAGCUGAUUGUGCCAUUACGUAUGAGUAGGUACUGCUAACAUCAUGUUAUCAGUAGACGGGAACCGAUACGUAAAAGACAAACGUAUUGUUAUAGGAAGCCCAACA
rfam:Vibrio rumoiensis 1S-45 1S-45_contig_12, whole genome shotgun sequence.